rnacentral:rRNA from 1 species
GCAUGCUCUCGAUAAUGCGACUCUCGUAAAUCUGCGAACGGCUCCGUAUAUCUGUUGUCACCAAUAGCCCAUGGCCAACACAAACCAGCGGAUAUGGCUCGGUAAUUCUGUCAGUAAUACGUGUGGGGUCUUACGGCCCUCACUCCUUCCACGCAAUGGCCCCCCUAGUGGGGUCAUCGAAACCGAGCCAUGCGCGGUUAUAGAGACGGUCUUGCAAUGGACCCACGGCCCGGCAUUAGUCAGGCUAAGGAUCGCAUGCAAGGGGACCCGACCACUGCUCACGUGGCGGAGGCUAUGGGCUUCAGACCUAUCAACUUGCGGGCUGGUUGAGGACCAGUCCAGGUGAUAACGGGUACAGAGGAUCAGGGUUCGGUCCUGGAGAGGUAGCCUGAGAGAUCGCUACUACUUCUAAGGAAGGCAGCAGGCGCGCAACGUUCCCAAUGGGGGCCGCCGGCCCCUGAGGACGUGAAGGGACAUAACAAUGCCUGGUCCUAUAAGACUAGGUAAUUGUAAUGGGGAAAUUCUAAAUCUCCCACCGAGUAACAAUUAGA